CUUGGUCAUUUAGAGGAAGUAACGGUCGUAACAAGGUCUCCGUUGGUGAACCAGCGGAGGGAUCAUUACCGAGUUUACAACUCCCAAACCCCUGUGAACAUACCACUUGUUGCCUCGGCGGAUCAGCCCGCUCCCGGUAAAACGGGACGGCCCGCCAGAGGACCCCUAAACUCUGUUUCUAUAUGUAACUUCUGAGUAAAACCAUAAAUAAAUCAAAACUUUCAACAACGGAUCUCUUGGUUCUGGCAUCGAUGAAGAACGCAGC
rnacentral:rRNA from 1 species